rnacentral:lncRNA from 1 species
CUGCUGGAGACGGACGAUGACAGUGAAAUCAAAAGGCUCCGGUGCAGUGUUUCUGUCUGACAAAGCUUCAGCUGGCCACUCUGAAGAGCAUGUUGCUGAGAGAACCACAUCUCCACAGAGGACUUAAGAAGUCAAGUCUGAUUCCAACUUGACUGCCCCUGGUUAUGAAAAUCUGCACUCAGAGACUACAACGGUACGUCCUCAUAGGAGUUUAAGCUGACUAAAGAAAAAAACAAUUCUGAUUUUUGCAUUGUCAAAAGCUUCACGUCCUCAUGUUUGUGUCU